UUCGACAUCUUCCAUUGUCACUUGAGGCAAUUACACGCAUCACGUUUAUUAUUUCAUAUAUUUCAACUUUACAUUAUUAUAUUACUAGCAAUUACCGUCGACUUUGUCCGCGUGAACAGAAUACGUUUUACCAAGAUAAAAGUAACCUAUAUCCUUCAUCAUCGCGUGCUAUUGUGUACUAAAUAUAGCACAUGUAUACAAAAUUUCAUAACGAUUGGCUAAUCCGCUAAGAGCCUUCAAAAGCUUUUUCAAGGAAAACUAAACAACAGUGUUGGUUUCAACUGAACAAAGCAUCCAGUGACGCAAUAAGGACCACUAGGUAUGUAGUUGUUUACGUAAAGCAACGUGAUCACCGCUGCGCCUCGUAGGUCAUCAAAAUAUGAAACAAGCUUAACACCCACGGCCCAGGUCUAUCUAAUGGAAAGUAACCGUCGGCUCAUGUUUAUGAGCAGUCCCAUGAGCAUCAUAUAAAAACAGCAGCUUCAAUUGUAAUAAAACAUACUGAUGCAUGACAUGAAAUUGUGUAGAGAUAUUAGAUUAAAUAUAUUUUA